AUCCAGCUGAGGAGUCCCAAGUAGGACGAAACGCGCGUCCUGGAU
rnacentral:hammerhead_ribozyme from 1 species